UACCUCCUCCUCCUCCUCUUCUCUUCUUCUUCAUCUCUUCUUCAUCUUUUUUUCUUCUUCUUAGUGGAAGAUCCAUGAGUCGCCCCUCCUUUUGGAUUUUUCCUCCCUUUCGGUAACCAUCUCUCCUUCUCUCACGCACGCUGGAAACAACGAGACUUUUCGUCAAUGACUCGCCUGAAAUCCCCCUCUUUCUCUCCUUCAGCCGACGCCACCACCCAACACCCCUUGCACGGGAAAUCAAGGUCAAGGGAGAUUUCAUGGCUAUGGGCUGAAGCUUUGAGAAAAAAGAAUGAAAAAUGAAAUGUGAGAUUUUAACUUUGAUGGUGUGUAAGGUCUUUUUGUUUGUCUAUGAAUUUUCCAAGUGAAUUUGAGUACACUUGAUUUUUCUAUUGAUCUUUUGUUUAUGGUUGCUAUUGA